AGGAGCCGGAUGAGAAGAAACUUUCAUGUCCGGUUCUGGAUUAGAGAUGGGAUCAUAAACCAUCAAAUUUAAAUAGUGACAAAUAAAUCAUAGAUCAUUUAAUCUAAAU
rnacentral:ncRNA from 1 species